rnacentral:rRNA from 1 species
UACGUAGGGUGCGAGCGUUGUCCGGAUUUAUUGGGCGUAAAGGGCUCGUAGGUGGUUGAUCGCGUCGGAAGUGUAAUCUUGGGGCUUAACCCUGAGCGUGCUUUCGAUACGGGUUGACUUGAGGAAGGUAAGGGAGAAUGGAAUUCCUGGUGGAGCGGUGGAAUGCGCAGAUAUCAGGAGGAACACCAGUGGCGAAGGCGGUUCUCUGGGCCUUUCCUGACGCUGAGGAGCGAAAGCGUGGGGAGCGAACAGGCUUAGAUACC